GCGGGCGUGGCGGAAUGGCAGACGCCGCGGUCUUAAAAACCGCUGAGGGGCAACCCUCGUGCGGGUUCGAAUCCCGCCGUCCGCACCA
rnacentral:tRNA from 1 species